rnacentral:rRNA from 1 species
AUUGAACGCUGGCGGCAGGCCUAACGCAUGCAAGUCGAACGGUAGCACAGAGAGCUUGCUCUCGGGUGACGAGUGGCGGACGGGUGAGUAAUGUCUGGGAAACUGCCUGAUGGAGGGGGAUAACUACUGGAAACGGUAGCUAAUACCGCAUAAUGUCGCAAGACCAAAGAGGGGGACCUUCGGGCCUCUUGCCAUCGGAUGUGCCCAGAUGGGAUUAGCUUGUUGGUGAGGUAAAAGCUCACCAAGGCGACGAUCCCUAGCUGGUCUGAGAGGAUGACCAGCCACACUGGAACUGAGACACGGUCCAGACUCCUACGGGAGGCAGCAGUGGGGAAUAUUGCACAAUGGGCGCAAGCCUGAUGCAGCCAUGCCGCGUGUGUGAAGAAGGCCUUCGGGUUGUAAAGCACUUUCAGCGGGGAGGAAAGCGGUGAGUUUAAUAAGCUCACCGAUUGACGUUACCCGCAGAAGAAGCACCGGCUAACUCCAUGCCAGCCGCCGCAGUAA